CGAGCGGUCUUCCUUUGUCUGAUGCGGGGUGAACUUGCGGGGAUGCUUAGGCGCGCAUCUUCAUUAACGCCCCGCAAAACCCCGCACACGCGCCUCGCAAUGAAAUCAUCUUUAACGGACGUCAGACGGACUUUGUGCUGCUGUCCCGUUUUUGUAUUGGGGAUGUUGCGCAAGACAAAGCAGCUGCCUGUCAGAAGUUUACGCAGAAAAGGACAAUUUUACGCACGCUUGUGGGACAGAAAGUGACAAGUAUUCGUUGAUAAAUCGCCCUGAAAUACUUUUUCUGGAGUGAUGUCCUCUCUCUGGCGAAGUUGCCGAUGCACCGUGGGAGUUCAGAACAAUGCAAUCAGGUGUAAAGUCGGCAACACGCACUGAAACUUGUUGCGCGGGCAAAGAGUCACUUAUUUAUUUAUUUUUUUGGAGACGAAAUAUUGUAAAUCCGCAGCCUCACGCUUGGUUGGUUUCCAAAACCAGUGAGAAAGUUGUAAUAGCUAAGUGGGAAUCAGAGCAACAGGGUGGUUUUUGCACCAGUUUGAGCAAAGUGUUUUCUUUCAUUUGAGAACAAGAUGAAAAUGUGUGGGAAUAAAAUAUAAGCCGCAGAGAGAGUCACCUAUCCAGCAGUUUUUUUAAAUGAAGAGGAGGAUUAAGAUGCUAUGCAAACUUUGCUUUUGGAGAAGGUGAAGACUCAUCUGAGGAUUAAAAACUUCAGCAGCAGCAGUGCCAGGCGGGAUGCAUUUUAAGCACAUUUGAAAAUCUAAAACUCAUGGAGACAUUUUUAAGGAUUAUGAAAGCGUGGAGUAUACCUCUCCUCAAGGUGCGCCGUGGCCUCAAAGUCACAGGGAUUUCAGGAUAUUACAUUUCUGCUUCUCCUCAAUUUACCACAGGCUAUUAUCUGGUCAGCAUGAGGUCAUUGUCUGGUCCAAGCCAAGUGAUGUCAUUUCCUCCGUAAACAAGUCUAACUUCCUCUUCUGGGUCCAUAUCAGCUGAUCUCAUCCUGGAGUAUGGGAGUGGUGAGGUCUGGGAGAUCAUGACCUUAAUUCUCUCCAAGACAGACGGUUUAAUUAACACUGGAAGAAUCCUCACUGGCUCCAGUCUACUACAGCAGGAAUGUGCAAGGGAAUUGGCUUGCUAAGGUGUCUUUGAAGAAACCUUGUUACCGCUGCAAUGAUUUGGUGACAAAUGAGGAAGGAGACAUGGAUGAGGCAGCAUCAACUGGGACACUACAGCAAUAUGGCACAUUUCUCAAGCAUGAUCCAGCGCACAUUGUUGAUGACCCCAGUGACUUGACCACCCUAAAUGGAUGCUCACUUCAGGUCUGGAAGAUGGUUACUUUCACAAAAUAGGGACAAAGUGUCUGUGUGGCUGCCAGUCAGGGCACAAAUCAAAACUGCAAAGUAAUGGAUGUAACAAUGGGAAGCGGGCCGCGGCCUCAACUUCAUCUAAAGUCUGGGUCUUUUAGUGAAGCUUAGGGCAAGUGGCCGACAAUCACCUUAUUAUUUCUUUUGUUUUUCUUGUUGCUUC